rnacentral:lncRNA from 1 species
GUAUAAGAUUCUAAACAUGUUGACUAAGAAUCCACCAUUUACAAAGAACAUGGAGUCUCCCUUAUGCAAUGAAGCCCUAGUAGAUCAGUAGAUCAACUAUGGAAACUAAUAAAUUCUGGUCUCAGGAGCUGUAUCAACAUCAAGCCCAGACCAGCCUGAGCAGGAUGAGACUCUGUCGAAAACAUACCAGCUGGCAUCCAGGUGUACAUGCCUUUAAUCACAGCACUUGGGAUUUCUGUGAGUUCAAGGCCAGCCAGCCUGGUCUGCAAAGUACUGCACAUGACUGGAGGUUACGGUGUGGUGCUGUGGACUUGUACUUCACUCUUUGGCCUCAGUAGACUUCCUGUUUACCCUUGCCAGAACUCGGGCUUGUCCUCAAUCUAAAAGAGAAAAAAGCCGUCUUGAAUCCUACCAUAAUUCCAGAAGCCGGAGCAGGCAACCAGGAAUCCUCGAGUAACCCAGGCUCUCAUGCUCAGCUCGCUGGAUUUCAGAACCCUGUGAGUGUCACGUUAGUACAGAAUACAGAGCCUCACUAUGUAGUCUGUAGUAACAAUGUCCUCUUUGAACCAGUCAGCUCUCUAGCCUCAGGUCACUGCCUUUUUAAUCCCCCAGCUUGUGUUUGCUUAGCAUUUCACAAUUCAUAAAAUGUCACUGUCAUCACAUGAUUAAAUGUAACAAAUGUGCUCUAGUCACUUGUGUGAUGACAUACGACUCUUUUGUGCCAUAGGAUUUCUUCUCUGCAUAGUACAGAAUAAAAUUGCAUAUAGAUCCA